CACCCACGACCGCCAUGCGGAGGACGACUUAAUCAAUGAAAAUCCAGUGAGCGUGAGGGGAUUGGGGUGUGUACGAGGUCGGGGGAUGCCCAGAGAUUCGUUUGCCUUUUUGCGUUCGACAGCACCAAAAACGUGAAUGCGGAACUCUAUUGAUUUUGCAAUAAAAAUGCGCGCGCAUGGCUCUGCUCUGUUCUGCUCUGAGAUUUGGCUCCAAAGCUAACAUAUGCCACACGACCCCCAAACGAAGAGACAUCUCGUGGAGCACGCGACGGUGGCGGCAUGUUGUCGGCGGUCAGUGAGGCGCCAGAGAGCGGAGCGGAGCAGAGCCGAAUGCAUUCUAUUCACCAUUCGCCAAUCCGAAAUCACUCGCAACGCGAACUUUGCAGAGCAAAGCCAGAGCCUUGGGCCCAGUCUGAAAAUUGUCACGAGCCCCAAGCACGGCAGCUGCUAGCUGCUGGUCGCCAAUCAAGCAAAGAAAUAAUUACCAAAAAUACAUAGUAGCAAAAAAAGCCAAUAACUAAAUCAGAAAUCAGUCUACGAAUAGCCCCCGCACCAACCGCGCUCAAAAAGGGAAACUGAGAGUUUGCAGAGGGAGCGGCAAAGACAAAGGAGAGACUUUCUGGCCAGGCCGUAGCAGCAGCACGUGAUGCAAUUGGGUUCCGUAUGGGGCCAGAAACGUUUAAAGUGAAAUCAAAUAAAAAUCGAUAGGCCCUAGCUUGCCUACGAAAAGUGUCAUUCCAUCUGGAACUCCACCAAAAACGUGCGCGCAGCCCGUGAAGUUUCAGAUUCGAGUCCCGCGGUACACCCCACACACAAAGGAAAAGCAUACGCAAACGACGGUGCCAGGCGUUAUAUAAGACAGAGGCACAGGCACAGGUUCAGGCUGAGGCUGAAGCUGAGGCUUUUCGCCCUCCCACGCAUAAACUGUUUGCUCAAUCGAUAGACUGCCCUCUGCCUGCCCCUCCCACUGCCUGCCAAUCCGAGAUGAUGUGUGCUCUUAAUUAGAUUACAACCCAGGGAUUAGCCACAGCAAUUAGAGAGAGGAGAGAACAAAACACCUGCCACUUGCCACCAGCCACGAGCCACCCGUUUAAAGUAAAGCAAAGCCAACACACACGAAAUGGGCAAGAAAAAGGUGGCCACAGAGGAUCUGGUUGUGCCGCCGCAGGAUACCAGAAUCUGUGGCACCAUCUGCAUCUGCCAGAUGACACUGGUGCUCAGUUCAGUGGCUCUGGUCUACCUCACGGUGGCCAUCUACAUGCCGUCCACGCGUGCCUUCAAGAGCGGCAUCGAUCCCACUCCCGUGAUGUGCACCACCACGCGGGCAUUGAACAAGGACAACUGCGAGUGGGGCAGCUGCGGGGAGUGGUGCCUGAGCAAGACGUCGGGUGCCUGCAUCCAGAUCUACGUGAAUCUGCGCGCCAAUGGCUCCAAUCUCAUCUUCCAGAACUGCACGAAUUCGGCGAACAAGACGUGCUACGGCAUCGACCAGGAUCGGGCGGACAAGGCGCGCUGCAUCAAUGACGAGUGCAAGAACCUCACGGGCACAUUCAACUGCACCGCCGGCCAGUGCCUGAACAUCACGGACGCCUUCGAGUGCGUUUUCCACAACAGCGAUGCUCCGGUGAAGUGCUCGGGUCGUCGCGGCAAGAUCAACUGCAUGGACAUCAGCGGACUGUACUCGUGCAGCCGCGGGACUUGUCGCAAGAUCCGCACACCCUACAACUGCGACCGGAGGUGUGUGGACAUACCGACCAGGAACAAGAACGUGGUGGUGCUCAGCGGGGACAAGGUGUAUCUGUCGCAGUGUCAGAAUGCCAUCAAUGCGGAGACCAUGGAAGAGGUGUGGAACGAGUCCAGCGAAAAUGUGGCCAUGACUUCGUGCUACUACAUCAAGAACUCACCGGAUCGCGUGGAUGCGGUGGACUGCAUCAAUGGGUCGACGCUGGAGCACAAUAUGCUUACGGAUCUGACAAAUUUCACAUAUCUGAGCCACCUGCAUGUCUCGGUGGCCACGCCCGUGCCGGAGAUAGCACCGCCCGAUGUCGAUCUGACCAUCUCCAAUGAGUCCAAGCUGAUGAUUAAUCUCGAGGGAUGCGUUAACACCCUCAUGGACGAGUGCAAGGAGUUCCUCAAGGAUUUUGGACGCGAUGGCAGCGAUCAUAAUGCACGCGCACGCUUCCCUUGCUUCUAUUCGCCCGGCAAAAAGGAUGUGGUGGUGGCCCGCUUCGACCUGGAGGUCACCUAUCGCCAGUUUGUGUUCGCUUCGGUGGUGCCAUCGGUGCUCUUCGUUGUCUCCUGCUCCAUUCUGCUGAUGUGCCAGAAGACCGUCUACGUGGGCGACGACGCCAAGAUGCGUUUCAAGGGCUGCGUGGACACGGAGACCAUCCUGAACAAGAACAACGUCGGUGCACCCACCAACGGCGACAUGGGUGGGGGCGGUGGCGAUGAGGUUAUGGCCCUAUGAGAUCCGUCACGUAAGCAACAAUACCGCCUUUGCCAUUGCCCACAUGUGAAAGAGUGAGAGAUUCAUUCGGUUUCAGGCUACCAGGCAUUCCUCUGCUCCAGGAAGACAGUCCGAUACAUCAGACUGGGGUCUUCGCUUUGCAAUAAGUUGGAGUUGGCCACAACAAACCAGAAGAAGAGCAGCACAAUCGAGCAACUUGAAAUUCUUUGUAAUCCUUCCAUUGAACUUUUAACAAAACGACCACAAAACACAGCCACAGCCACAGCCACAGCUACACCUACACCCACACCAACCCAAAGGCUUGCAAGGACACUCCUGAGCUAAACACACAGGGAAAACCAGAAAACUUGAAACUAAAACUGAAACUCAAACUAAAACACGACGAGGCAAGGAGAAGGCGCGUGAAAUACUCGAAAAAGAAUACGACGAUCGAUACGACUCGAUCAGAAGACAAUAUUAGUAUAAUUUAUUGAAUUAAUUCGUUAUUAAUUGAGUUAUUUGUAUUUGUAUUUGCAUUGGAUUAGGGCCAGAGGCUUUAGGAAAUGUGAUGUAGGUAGCAAACAGACAGGGAGAAGCAGGGACGUCAGAGCGAGGAUUGAUUCCACAUUUAUUGUUAAUUAUGCAGCUAAGUUUUUUCUAGGAAUAAAGCGCACACCACACACACAUGCACAGGGACACAAGAACACACACCACCCACACACAGACACCAGGAGCAGAAGCAGCAGCAGCAGCAGCAGCAGGAAGAAGAAGGAGGAGGAACUGAGUCCGAAUCCGUUGAAAGGUUCAGGAGAAGGCAGAGACAUUUCAGAAUUGGUCCAAACAACAAAACAACAGCAGCUUAAGAAGAAGAUUAGGAGGGAUGCGUGAUCAAAAAAAAAGAAAAACAAAAACAAAACUUCUAUAAACUAUAAAAAAACGAAAUCUCGGAACGACAAAAAAGUAUUCAAAGUCGAAGACGAAGCAAAAAAGUUAAACCUAAAGCAAAAACC